UGUAGAAACAAAAGGUAAGAGAGAAGAUGUUUUUCUCUUAUUGUUUUUCUUUUCAAUUUAUUUUCUCUUUAUUUUAUAUUUUUAUGUGAUAAAAUUCUAAGAGAGAAAGAGGGAUGGCAUGGUGGAUUCAUGCUCUAAUGAGUUGGGGCAUGGUGAUCUUAUUUUGGACAUGAUCUGAUAAUGUUCUGAUGAGAGAAGAAGAAGAAAAGAAGGACUUUUCUUAAGGUUUCUUUUAAAACUCUUCUUCUCCAUAAAUCAUGAGAUUUUUUUAUGAGAAAAAUUAGAUA
rnacentral:lncRNA from 1 species